AAAGAAAAAAAAUGAACAUACCAUUCAGAUUCAAACAUUCAACUCUAUUUAGAAUUCGGAUUUUAGAUUAAAAAACAAAAACAAACAAACAAACGCCACCUAAGUCAUCAAAUACAAUAAAAAAAUAAUCACAAAAAAAUGAAGAUGAAUUUAAUUGAUUAAUUCCCUAAAUUUCUUAUUUAUUUGAAAUUUCAAAAAAAUAAUGUAAAUUUCUUGUAAUAAUUUGAUGAGAAUGGACUAGGUUUUCAAAACUUACGGCUAGAAAUAUCACUACAUGUUUAAUUUAGGUUUAAUUUUUAUUCAUUCCCUAAAAAAUUGACCAUCUUUAAAAUACUCUCAAAUUAUUAUAAAUUUUAAUUUAUCCCUAAUUAUUGUUGAGAAGAUUUUUUUUUUUUAUCAACUUAUCCAUAUUUACCAUAAUAUUUUAAAUAGUAAGUUGAGAUAAAUUAACGUUUACAAUAAAUCAAGUGAUAUUUUGAAGAUAGUCAAUUUAUUUUAUAAUGAUACAUAAAUUACACCGUCUAUCUUCAAUUAAACACACAGUGAUAUGUGUUGAUUUGAAGUUGCCAACAACAAACUCCAUUUUCUCGUCAAAUUAUUUACAAAUCAUUCUAAAUUUACGUUGGGUUUCGUAUUGGGUUUUGUUCCACAGUCAUAUUCUAGACCUUUAUGAUAAUGUAAGGUCACAGGCUCACAGCAAUAUACGUUUUUCAUAUACACACGUACACUUUUGAAGUCAGUACUCGGUAAUAAGAAGAAAAAAAUUGUUCAUGCACGUAGUAAUAGUUGUGACAAUCCAUUAGAAAACCACAAAUAAACUUUAUUAGCACUUAAUUUUGUAUCAAUUUGAAAGCGGGUCUCAGGGCAAUGAAAGGUUGUCGAGUCCGCAUCAGCAUGACAGCACGUCAGCCUGCCUUUUUUUUUUUUUUUAAAUACUGAUUAAUCAUCAUAUUACUGCAUUACACAGAUAUUUACAACUGUUAUUAUAGUAAAUAUAUUACACUGAUAUUUACAAUCAGAAAUACAUGAUUGGGACUGAUAUUAUUACAUUGAAUUCUGUGAAGUACAUGCCCAGACAAAUAAUCUCUUACAGAAGAGAGAUGUCCAUACACCACUCGUAUUGCACGAGGGAGAAGAAAUUUUUAAAAUAUUAAACAAAUAAACACGUUAGCCCCCACAAAUACUUUUGUGGGGGCUUGAACCGCUGCCCUCACAAGCUGCCCACCACUCCGACCAAGGCCGAAGUGGCAGCCUGCCUUCUUUUAAGCCUGUGGAUAAGCAUCCUAUCCUACUUAGUUUGGGCGUUAAAAACUUUAUUAGCACUCUACUUAAAUUAGAGAGCAUAAUGGACAAAGAGUAAGGACAAACCCAAUCAUAGUUUAUGUUCGUGUUUCGUAUGUGCGCCCUGUGCAUAAUUGAGCUCCAUGGUUGCAUUUCUUAAACAUCAACUUUAUUGUUUGAUAAUUGAUGAAAAACGUUUGUUAAUUUGGUGACCCUUGCUUCAACUGAGAAGUUACUAUUCUUGGCUCACGUUUAUCAUAGAACGGUGGGGUUUAUAUGUGUGUGUGAGUAUAUAUAUAUAUAUAUAUAUAUAUAUUCCAGAAAACGGAAAAAGAUUAAUCAAUCACUUACUUAUAACCAGAGUUAGAAAUUUUUAGGAAAAUAAUCGUUUUGUCGUUAAGAUUUAAUUUCUAUUAGGAAAAUGAUUGUUUUAUCUUUGAGAUAUUCUUUUUUAUUUUAUUUAAAUGAUCAUUUUAUCUUCUAAAUUUAAUUUUACAUUAUGACGUAAGAUAUCUUUCAAUUAGAAUUAAACGAGAUAAAUAAUACCAAAUUUUAGUAUAUAAUAUUUUAUUUUGAAGUUUUCGAUGACAGAAACAAAAUAAAUAUCCAACUGUUCGCCGUAUCAUAUUGUUUAGUACCUCAAAAAGUCUCAAAAAGUUAGAAUUUUUUCAAAUUUUAAAAAGUUUGUCAGAUUUUGAUUUUUUUUUUCUUAGAAGUCGAUUUUAAGCCCCUAUUUUUGUUAUGUUUAUUUUAGCAACUAAAGUUUUAUUAAGUAAAAAUAAUUUGGAUUUGUCUAGUUAUUAUGUAAAAAGGGGAAAUAAAUAAACAGAGUUGCAUUGUUUAGUUAAAGUGAAAAAAUAAUACAGUUUUCAAUCAUUAGAUGGAUUAAGUUACGGUGCAACUGUGGUACCGUGUCACAGUUGUAUCCAGCCGUUGGAUGCACUUUGAUUGGUAGGGUUCACUGGCAUCCAACAGCUGGAUGCAACUGUGGCACAGUACCAAGUUGCACCACAUAUUUCCCCUCAUUAGAUUACAAUAAGUAAAAUAUAGUAGAACUGAUUUAAGAAGCCAUGAUUAAUUUCUGAAUUUUUUUGUUGACAAUUUUAUUUGGGUUCAGUUUGAUUAUCAAGUUCAAAUAAAUUGAAAGACGCCGAAAUUAACCAGCCUUAAUCUUAAACGGAUGCUACUGAUGAUGUCAUGGCCGCCCAUGAUCCAGUGUACAGUGUUGGAAAGGAACAUGCCGCUGAUUCCCCCACAGGGCCCUCAAAAUAAGGGACGCUUCCUUUACCGUCGUCACUAUAUAGCAUAGAAUAAAGACAACAGCAAUUCUCUUAUUAAAAGAAUUGCGCUCAAAGUGUUUGUGUGUAUGCGUGAGUGACAAAGCGCGGGUUUAGAAUUAAUAUUGUCAUCACACCCCCAUGUGGAGACCAAUUUGGCUGGUGUUCCUUGGCUGCCCUCAGCCUGCACAAAUUAAAAAAAUUAUUGGAUUUAAAAUGAACCCACAAGUUUGACAGUUCAUUAGCUUUGCUUAAUGAAGGCUACCCUUGAAAGUUACCAUAAAAAAAUCCAAUUAAGGUAAUACUUUUAAGUUUAGUUGGAUAUCUUUUCCAAAGGUUAAAAGCAUGCAACUUGGUGCCCAUGUGAAGACAAUCAUAUUCGUGGGCUUUUUAUAUGAUUUAAAGCUUUCCGCGUGGAAUUUGUCCUUCAACUGUUGCCAUGUAAGCCUUUCGUAAGUUUAAACUAAUACGAGGGUAGGCUCAAGGCUGAGUGGGAUUUUGGUCCCCUUAUGUUGUUUUGCUUUGACUUUCUUUUGACUUUUUUUUUUUGUCUCCUUUCAAGUUAAUCCCAGCCGUUCGACCUGAUCAUUACCCUUACCAUCAGAGAAACGAUAUAUAUAUUUUUGGGUGGGUGGGGGGGGCCUCUUAAUACCUCAUUCUCUUGUCUUCAUUGUGAAAAGUACCGAAUUUUAUGUAGUCUAAUUAGAAGCUAACAGCUCAAUUAUACAGUUAAAAAGUUAUUCGUUUGAAGGUCUGUAUCCAAUACACAUUUCUCAUUUUAAUGGAGAUGUCAAUCUUUUAAAAGAGUGAUAAUCAAACAAGAAUGCAAAAGCCAAGAGCCAUCUUCAUUUACCUGUCCCAACGGCAACAUGUAAAAUAAUUAUAAUCAGCGGGUCAUGUAAACAUGAAGAGAUUCGUCAAACUGAGUAGCCUUAGCACUUGCAAAAGUCAAAAUCCAUGUUACUUUUAUCUGAUUGGUCAUUCAAAACCCUAUUAGCGAUGAAUUUAGUGCUUCAAUUAGGUCAAUGGGGUACCUGAUUCACAAUGGAUGAUUAAUUAAUUAACUAAUCUCCAUAAACCUUUUGUGACAUUGAUUCAGAAGAUGAUUCUCGAUUGCGUUGUUGUUGUUGUCGUCGUCCUUAGAACCCAUCUCGGAGUUCAUUUUCAGAAAAAAAUUUGGCAUUGCCAAAAACGAUUUCAAAAUUUAUUUCCUGUGAUGUUAAAAAUGGUAUCAAGUGUCAUGUCAUAAAAAAAAAGAAAAAAAGAAAAAUGGCAUUGCCUUCAACAUAGUGAUGCUUAUACAUCAGACGAGGCCAUGGAGAUUAAUGUUAGCUUACCUACCAACAAUAUGGAGGAUUAAACAUAAUCAGUUGUUGAACCAUCUUAAUUAAUUAUGAUAAUUUUCUUAACAUUUUUGGGGAAACUGAGACUAAUUGUUUAGUAAUCUCAUAGCUUAAGUACCCACAUUUUGCCCAGCCUGUUCUGUCUUUUACUUAAAUUAUAAAAACUGUGUUCUUGUAAAUCCAUAAUUAACAGAGACAUAUAAAUAGAAAAAUAUGAAAUGAAGGGUUCAAGAUACUCAAACAAAGGGCUGAAUGUUAGAAGGGAAAACAUCAUUUCACAGUAAUGUCAAAAUAAGUUUGAAGACUAGUUCAAGGAUCUUUAAGAAGCAUAUUCCCACAAUUAAUGAAAAAAAAAAUAUUUGUUUCCUUUGCCAUAAGCUCAUUAUUGCUUUCCUUCAAGCUCAAGGGCCCUAAGAGGUUUGGAAAAGCAAUUUUGCCUAAUGAUGGCCUAAUCUAUACCCGUUAUUAUUUAAUAAAACUCAACCAGCGGAGAUUCAGAGGAUAAAUAGAGAAACUUGUUAAGUUCAGAAUGUCAACAUCAAGCUACCCAUGUGAUCUGUCAAAGUCAUUCAGGAAAAUUAGACAGUUAAUUAUCAACUCUAAAGCAAGUGGGUUUAGUUAAUUACUUUAAUGUCGGCGAAAAGCUUGAUUAAUUUAAUCUAAUGACAACACCAUCUACAAAUGGAACCUCGAGGGAACCACAGUAAUCCACCCAGAGAGAAAAAAAAAUGAAUAAAUAAAUAAAGCAGUUUACAGUGAUUCUUCAAAGCAUAUAUUUGUUUGGCUAGUGGCAAAGGUAAGGUUGGCAUCAUGAAAUCUAAGACCUCAUAAUAAUGCAAGGUAUCUCUCUUCCUCUUUUAUUUAACAAUCAUCAUUAGCACAGUGACAAGAUUUAGGUCAUGAUCAAUGUUGUAAUUUUAUUGAUGCCGGCAUUCUUUAUACUUGUUUAUCUUACCAUCCAUAAAUUAGCACAAAUAAUUUAUUCUAGGCUGAGAAAUUAGAAUACAAGCGAAACAAGAACAACAUAGGGGAAGUUACAUGAGUGUUAUUUAUUCAAAUCGAAACAACAGAGAAUGUGCCCUCACUCGAGCAUGGUGAUGGAUUGAAUGAAUUGGCAAAAGAAGCUACUGUGACUUCAUCACUCGUCAGAGCAUUAAUGAUUUCUUCAUCACUUUAUACGUCCCAUGCUUUUAAGCAAUGUUAAUUAAGGCCUCAAAUCAAUGAUUAAUUUUCUGUUAAAGGAAUGGUUGAAAUAGAGAAAUUCUUUGGCCCACAGUUUAUUUAUGGUGAGAAGGGAGCAAAAACCACCACAGAGUUGUGACCACCAAAGCCAAAUGAAUUUGAGAUAGCUGCACAAACAAGAAAUUAAAACACAAUCCAUUAGUUAAAAUAAGAUAUAUAAUUAUUCCAGUUCUAGAAGGCGUACAGCUAAAGUACGCUAACUGUUUGACAAGUUUGUUUGUGUAGUAUUAGCUAGGUCGAAUUAGUAAUCAACGAGUAUAGUAAUAUAUAUUCAAAGAUUCUAAAAAUAUUUUAUGCGAAGCCAAGAACCGAAACACGUACCAACGUUAACGUGAUGCUGUUUCUUCACAUUUGGAACGGUGUCGAUUGUAACCUCAGGCUCCAAGUUCUGCCAGGAAAAGUAACAUAAGUCCACAAAAUGUAUUAGAAAAAAAUAUUGUCGGCUCUUUAGAUGAAAUGGAGAAAAGUCUUAAGGGCUGAGAAAGAGUACAUCUUGGUUAAGGGUUGGAUGCAACCAGCCAGUGGUGAUUGCUUUUAUGGUUGUUAUAGCUUCCAAUCCGCCAGCUGCCCCAAGCCCAUGUCCAAUCAUCGACUGAAUCAUGAAAUAAGAAACAUAGGGGAUUACAUUAACUCUCAUUUAAGAUCAUGAUAUAUAUGAUUAAUGGGAUAUUUAUGUAUCUCACCUUAGUUCCAUUCAUCUUCAUUUCAGAUGUGUCCUUGAAGACCUUCUUAAUUGCAUUAACCUCAGCCAAAUCCCCUGCUAAUGUGGAUGUUGCAUGAGCAUUCACGUAGUUAACCUGUAUACAAAUUGAAGUUUCACAUUAAUCUAGAGGUCAUUCAAAUGAAAUUUUUUAAGAUUUAUCUAACCUCUUCAGGGGAAACUCCUGCAUCUUCUAAACUCUUGGCUAUGCAAGAUGAAACUCCGAGGCCAUCUGACCUUGGAUCUGUCAUGUGAUGAGCAUCACAGGUUACCGCACCUCCCAGAUACUCGGCAAUUAUGUUAGCUCCUCUUUUCAUUGCAUGCUCCAAGCUCUCCAUAACCUGUUCAGUUUCACAAAGAGCAAAGUUAGCACAAACAAAAAAUGUCAAGAAAAAAUAAGGACGACCAAUCAAAGUAUGUAUAUAUCCUGCAGAAAACAGACAGGAUUUUUUUAAUUAUAAUUAUUAUUUAUAAUUACUAACCAGUAUGCCACAGCCCUCUCCCAUGACAAAGCCAUCGCGAUCUUUGUCCCAAGGUCUCGAAGCUCUUUUGGGGUAUUCAUUCCUUUGGGACAGAGCUCGACAAGCAAUAAACCCACCAACCCCAGUAGGUAUAAUAGCAGCCUCAGUCCCACCAGCGACCAUGAUAUCUGUUUCACCUCUUCUGAUGUGAUUUGCAGCAGCGUAAAAGCAAUAAUUAGCAGUUGCACAAGCUGUUGAAAUAGAAUAAUUUGGUCCCAUCAAACCGGUGUCUAUGGCUAACAAUGCUGAACCCAUGUUGGUGAUUGAAUACGGUAUGAAAAAUGGAGUUAUCUUCUUAUAUCCCUUUUGAAUAAGAGCUUCAACUCCAGUGGUAAAAGACGUGAGGCCUCCCAUGCCUGAUCCCACUACAACUCCAAUUCUUGUUCUGUCCAUCUGCACACAUGGAUGAAAAAAUUAAUUUAAUUCUGAUUAGUGCUGAGUCUAGAAAAAUGAAAGGGGGAGGGGCUGCCACUGCCACAUGAUGUAGGGUGUUGUGUGUUGCGAGCAGUGUAUCUUCUGGAGAUCCUAACUUGGGUUACAGUUGUCUGUUUUCGGCGUAUAAUAUAUUGUUUUGAAGCUUAUGAUGAGACAAACAAAAUCCACAAUUGUCUAAGCUGUUCCGCUCCGUGAUCAAACUGGAAAUUCCGUUUCUUUCCUGGUCAUUUUUUAGUUUUAAAAUUCUUUCCUAUUUUUCCUUAUUCUUCUGGGAUUUUUAUCUUUUUUUUUUUUUUUUUCUAAAACUCAGAUUUGAAUACCAUUUGUUUUUCUUUUCUUAUUUUAAUUAGAAUAGUUUAAUUAUCAUAUUAGAUUUUAGAUUUGCCUAUUUUAAUAAAUUCGCGUUAUUUAGACUUAUUAUAAAAAUAGUUCAAAAUCCUAAUUUUAUUCGUUCAAGACUUUUCAAUAAAACUUAUCAUUAUUCAAAAAUCUACUUUCUUAUACCAGAAAACUCAAUAAAGUUUCCGUUUCGUCACCACAUUUUGCUACUUAAGACAAUGUGACUGACUUACAUUUUCGAGGACUUGAGGGCUGAGGCUGGCUUCUUCAAGGGCUCUUCUGCCAGCAACCAAGCAGUACCUCCAGCAAUCAUCAAGCCGCCGAUCAUUCUUUCCAUCGAUGUAGCCUUUGGAAGAAAAAUCACGAAUCUGGCCCCCAAAUCGAACAGAGAAGCUCGAAGCAUCAAAUCUGUCGAUUGGGCUAAUUCCGCUCUCUCCCUCUAGAAGUUUGUUAUAAAAUUUAUCAAUGUCACUGCCAAAUACUGAUACAAGUCCCAUUCCAGUAAUGACAAUUCUUUUUUUGGGAUCUUUUUCCCUCUUGGGAGCUGAAGCCGUUGGGGAAGCCAUAACCCUGAUGGUUCUGCAUUUUGGACCUGUGAGUGGAUGUGAAACUAAUUUAAAACCACAUGAAUAGUAGCUACUCGCAGUACUACCCCUAAAGAGAUAAGUUAUUGAAUCAUAAAACUUUAAAAAACAUUGGGAUCACAUUCACAUCCAUAAAACGCACAUACGUAGUCUAUGUUUAAUUCGUAUGAGCUGAGCUAUAAAGCUUCCUAUUCCUCAUUUGGCCUUAGCAACAAAUAUUUCUAACCAAUAACUGAAAUGACCAAGAAUGAAAUAUAAGUAAUACCUGAAGAACAAAUUAACCCACUUUGCUUAAUAGUAGUAGUAAUGCCAGCUGAUGCAAAUUGAAAGUUCUCCGCUGGCCUAAGCCCACUGUACUGAGCUAGAGAAGCAGCCCCAUUGCUCUUUACUUGUCUGUUUCCAAAAACCACCCCGAGAGCAGAAGCCGUGCUAACAAAGCUUGCCAUUUGCACAACUCUUCUAAUCAAUCCGAGUCUCUCUCUGUCUAACUGAAACAGGUUGUGGUAAUUGAAUACAUAUAGAAGAAAAAACUAAAGUGAGAGCUUUGGGUUUGCAGUGAAAGAGGACUUAACAAUGAAAGCACUUCGUUUGUUUCGUUCAAGUUUUGUUCAUUUUGGUAAGGGACAGAUUUUGGCGAUGGGAGCAAAAUAAACGCAAUGCACUCCCCCUUUUUCUUCAUUUCGUUUUAACCGCUUAACUACCCCGAACAACCAACAUUUCGGUAGUUUAUUGCCUCGUGUCUGCUGUUUGCCACGUGUCACUCUGUAACCGCCAUUUCGUUUCUGUUUUUCGCCUUUCCAAUUGCACCGCGCGUCGACGUUAAUGUAGCGUCCCCACGCUACCUGGGGCCAGGGCCGACCCGCACUCUUUCGCACUUAAAUUUGAAAAUGAAAGUCCCAAAAAAACUGGUUCAAUUCAUAAAUAAAUUAGUUGCCUCCAAAAUUGGUGUUUGUUUGGGAGGUCUUCAAAUAAUCUUUUAAUCGAUCGCCCAAUUUCAAAUCUUGAACUGCUUACAAAAUUAUUUAAAUUUUGAAAACGUACCAGAUUAUACAAAGCUAUUAGAAUUUAGAAACCUGCAAUUUUGGUUCGGUUUAUUAGGCUUGUUAUUGUAAAUCAGAAAUGGCAACCAAGGAAUUUGGAUCUUGCCGACUUGGGCUGGGGUCAAAUACGCGUGUCGGUUUAGUGAUAUUAUAUCUGGGCCCAUCUGACAUUGGUCCAUUUGGUUAAGACAUAUGGUUUUAAACAUUGGUGUUUGACUGGUCAUAGGUCUUUAUCACAAGAAAUUUUAAAAUAUAAUGAAGAAAAUAUAACUAAUUAAUAUAUUUAUGAUAUGCGUAAUUAAAAUUAAUAUACUCAUCACUCGUAUGGUAGUUUUUUAAAAUAAAUACAUAUAUGUUAUAACAUCAUUUACUUAUACACGAUAUCUUUUAUAUAUUUUAGAAUUUCUCUUUAUCACCAAUACUACUAAUAAAACGACAAUAUAGUAAUAUAAACAGUACUAUCAUUUUUUAUGCUGUAGUAUUACUGUAAUAUGAACCAUAGCUAUAUUUUUGUCUUCCUGCUAUCUUGCUACUGUUCAAAUAACAGUAUUCUAAUAGUAAAUAAAUACUAAAAAUAGAGUGAAGGAAAGGCAACUGGCUCUAAGCUCUAGCCUCUAGCUCUACUUGUUUUAACUUUUUGACACAAUUUAGCUGUCAAAAUUAAGCUAGGCAAUUGUUGUUGUAUAAAAAUGAUAAUAAAUCACUUUUAUUUGACUAACCAUAGUGGCGUCUACCAAACAUUCGUAAAAGUUAAAACAACUAGAUCUUUCAUUUCACAGCAGUCCACGGGGAACCUGAAACAUGUUUCUUUCUUCCAUGUUUAAUGGUUCAUGUACGUUUCAUGUCUAAGUAAUUGAGCUGAGAGGCAAUGAAAAUGUUGAAUGCGUUCGUACAAGCCAAGAAAGCCCCAGCAAGCAGCAGCCAGCGGAACUUUUGAAAGUAAUCAAGGAAUACGGAACCCAGACACACACACACACACACACACCCCAUCUAACGGUCUGUGAUACGACUCUCUCCAGUCUGCCGGUGGCAUUAUUGCCCAUGUCCAUUAUAAAGCAUAACGACUGUUUUGUUUUAUCAAUCUCUAGCUGGUUAUGAAUUUAUAAUUGGUUUAAAAUCUGAGUAAGGAAAGAUAGAGCAGUCUGUUGAUCAUCAGAUGGUUAGUGGAGAGUGGUUUCAAAGAUCUUGUGGUGAGGCACAAGUCUGUUUAUCAUAUCAUCUUUAAUUGGCCCAAAUAUACAAAGCCCAAUUUCCUUUUUUAUUUGAUUUGGGUCCACAAUGCCGGCCAAUUCUUUUCAAUGCGCCACGUUCGUCCUGCUACAGUGACUUGCCGGUUGAAUUGGUUGCAUCCAUUGCAGCUUUUGGUAAAAAGGAAAGGAGAUUUUUAGCAGAUUAAUAAGGACCUGUCUAUGGUACAGAUUCUGUAACAAACAUCUCCCGUCAUCCCACCAUCCGAUUUUCUAUUGUUCAGUUUCUCACUCCACAUCCAACCACAUCCAACGGCUGAUGCUGCAGUCUGUACCUUACAGAUUCUGUAAGCUAGUCGAGUCCGAUUAAUAAUUAUGGCUUCGGAUUCGCCCAUAAUAAGAUUUGGUCAUUGAGCGUAAUUAUAACGUCAAAAUCCACGUGUGAUGCUGUAGAUGUGAUUGAUACACAUGUAACGUCCCAAAUUCACAUGCCGAAGCCAAGUCACAGACCCACAGUGUAAGAUUUAAUAAUACGGGAAAAUUUGGCACUUUCUCAAGAUCCUUAACACUUAAGCCAAAAGCACAAAAAACGAGCAGCCCUUGUGUGUGAACUCAAACUCUCCAAGUCAUCGAAGCUCCAAGAAGACCUUCUAGAAAAGGGACAAAAUAUCAAAAUGGAAAGAGACAUUUAUAGAUAUAGCCCCAGGCUGAGAUAAAUUCACAACAAUAGCCCUUUCAUUAUUCUUUAUUUUCAAUAAUUAGAAAAUGACCAUUUCAACCGACUGACUUUAAUGUCUCUAAGUAAUAGGUCCUUUCCCCGCCCACCACCACCCCCAAAAAAAACAAAAGAGUAAUAAGUUACGGUAGAGAUGCAAUGACAUGCAAUCAGACAACAAAAUUAAAUAAUUUAUCUAAAUGCUUAUAUGAAUUGUAUGCUGGCCUCUCAUGAACCAGUUGCUUAAUAUAUUAUUAUUUUUUGAACUUAGGCUAUUUUUGUAAAAUUGUCCAGAUCGAAGCUACUCUCCCACGAACUCAACUAUCCACUUUCUGUGUAUUUGUCUCUCUCUCUUCUCUCUCCUCUUCCCCUUCCACCACGUCACCUCCUCAAACCGCGUUUCUGCCGUCACCUCUCUCGCAUUCGCUCAACUACAAAAUUCAAUUGAUGAGAUAUUUUUCAAAAGGAAAAAAAUCAAAAUAAAUGUAAUUCUUAUCGAUCUUCUGGUGACUUUCUACUUUGACAAAUCCACACGCAAUCGUAAUACUAACAACCGCUCUCUCUCUCUCUCUCUCUCAACUCACUUUCUCAGAAAUUUCUUGUUUGCUUAAUCUAAUCUUACCCCUUAUUUAACACACACGCGCACUCUCUCUCCCUCCCUCUUAUCUCUCUCGUACAACACCAAACUUAAAGAUUUGAUUUUCCCCUGUUUUUGCUCUCUUUAAAUAACCCUUUUUAUAUAUUUGUAGAGAUUAGGGAUAUACAAAGAAAAGAUACCACAUUCGUCCCGGAUCAUACAUAAAUUUUCUGUUUUCUCGUGAAUUAGUGUCUGAGAUGGAGAACAAUCAGCAGUCGUUUUGGCAAUUCAGUGAUCAACUGAGGGUGCAAGCAUCAAACUUGGCUAAUCUGUCACUCAACGACUCGAUCUGGAGCAACAAUUAUGGGUCGAAGAGGCCGGAUGAAAGGAGGAAUUUCGACAUCAGAGUCGGCGGUCAAGUGAAUGUGAAUCCAUUCACUAAAGGGUCUGAUUUGAACGCCUUCGAUGAUGGUUACAAGAGUAUGAGCAGCAACUACAACGAUAUUGGCCUAGGCCCUAUCGGCCAGAUUAUGGCCCCUGCCUCGGCCUCUCAAAAGAAUGUUGGGAUCAACGGUGGAUUCAACAAAGGGAUUUAUUCAAAGCCAGGUCAUUUUGGUCUUAGCACCAUCAACACCAACAACAACAACAACAUCAACAGUUAUAUGAAUGUUAAUUUGAAGGGGAAUAGGAAUAGGGAAGAGAAUGAUCAUCAUGGACUUGGAAGCAAGAGUGGCAAGAAGAACAGCAACAAGAAGAACAAUAACAAAGAUGGUGACAAUAAUUCCGAUAAUAAGGACACUAAGACUGCUGCUGAUAAGAGGUUCAAGACUCUCCCACCCUCGGAGGCUUUGCCGAGACACGAAACCAUUGGUGGCUAUAUUUUUGUC
rnacentral:lncRNA from 1 species